CCUCUCAAAUUUUACUAAGUUGGAUUUCAGUGGUAUUAGUUCCUUUCUUAAGAAACUCUUUUUCCAAAAAAAUUAUCCUAUUACUGACGAACACCUUUGAUUCUUUAGUGAGAUAAAAAUAGUACUCUUUUGAUUGCUUUAGGUACCCAACAAAAGAGUAUUUAUCGGAUCGAGGUCUAAGCUUAUUUGUCUUUAAAUAUUUGACAUAAGCCGGAUAUCUUCAAACUC
rnacentral:lncRNA from 1 species